rnacentral:lncRNA from 1 species
UCUAUAAUUACAUGAAAGAAAUUAAUGAUGAUCCCAAUCAUACCCCUUCACCUUCUAAUACUAAACCAUAAACUCUAAUCACUAAACCCUAACCCAAAUAUGAAUUCUAAACCUUAAACUUUAUUUACUAAACCCUAAAAUCAAAUAUAAACCUUAAACCCAAACAACAAAUGUAGUUGUGGUUAACGAAAUUUGUAUGAAGUUUGCACUUAUGUGGAUUUGGUUAACUAAAUGAUAAAAUUGAGUUUUAAGUUCUUAGAUUUAAUCAAUACGCAUAAAUUAAGAUUCAUAGAAAUGAUACAACAACAAAACAUAACUUAUGCUUAUGAAUUUUACAAUCAUAUUUAUAUUCUGUGUUUCGCAAAUAGCAUAGAAUACAACAAAUGGUAAAGAUCAUAUAUUCCAUUUCAAAUGAGUGGUCUUUCUAUUUUACGUAGACACGAUCUAUUUCACUUAUAUACAUAUUGCAUCAUUACAUAUAAAUGAGAAUAUAUUCACCAGACGGCUCAAAUUCAGUUUUGACCAAUCUACUUGGCAGCUUAAAUCUUCAAUUUGUAACCUGAAAAACAAAAGCGAAAGAUAAAAGUGUUAGGAUCCUUUUAACAAAGUAAAUGUAAAAUAAAUUGUAUAGUAUAACAAUAGUAUGGAAUGGAAACCAUGUAAGACGUAAUGAUAUGCAUAGCUCAUGAUCUUAAACCACACAUGGGAAUAUAUAUAUAUAUAUAUGAAAUCCUAUCAACUAAUCAUGAAACCCUACAUGGAAAUAUGACCCUUAAUCUAAUGUUAACCCCAAUCUUGCAAUGACAAACUCAAUAUUCUAGAAACUAACUCCUCUCCAAUCAGCACUAAACCCUACACCGAAAAUAAAAACUCUAAUACAAGUAUAAAAAUACGUAAAUAUUAAAUACAAGUAUGAAUUCAGAAGCUAAAAAAGGUGAUAUUAAUUCUAAUUUAUUCCAUUCCAAGUCAAAUGGAAUAUAAACGUCUAUAUUUUAUUAUAUUCCAAGUCAAAUGGAAUAUACCUGACGGAGAUCAUGUCAUUUCCAGACGGUGAAACACGCAUGUAAUGCAUAUGCUAUUCCAUAUCGAAACAAUAUUAAUACAUCAUUUACUAUGCAUAUCAGAUAGAACACAACUAAAAUUUAAGAAAGACUACGAACAACCAUAAAACCACAACCGAGUAUACAGUGUGGAACUUAGUCGCAUAAAGCAAAUCCGGCAUUCACUGUCGACAAUGUUGUAUUUAACAUUUAUAGUACCCUAGUUCUGAGUAUAGCUGAAAUGGAAAAGAAAAUUACAGCAGAUGAAGACAAUCGGGUGAAAAAAACACGAGAACUUACCAUAGUUAAACAGAUCCGAGAAUAAUUGAGUGUGGGAAGUGGAAUAGACAGGAGGUGUUGAUAUGCGUCGCUGCAGCUUUAUCGCCGGCGAGGUGCGUCUGAUUUCCGAAUCGAUUAUCUCAGGCGAUUACAAACCACGAAGGAGAAGUCAAAAUCUAAGAGAAUCAGAAGGACGUGACGGUGUUUGUUCUCUCGGUGUCAGAGACCUUUCAAAUUUGACGAAGUUAUCAAAUGAAGUAAAAAAGAAGAUGUGAAGGAAGGUACGUCACAAUUUACCUUUUACAAAUAGUAAUAAAUAAUUUUAAUUAUUUUUUGGUUGCAGGUUUUACCGGUUGCGUUGAAGACUAGCAGGUUAAUAUUAUAUAAAAUACAAUCUUUAUCGAUGUAUGGUAGGGCAUUUGGCUAUAAAGCUAAAUAUGAUUUUUUUCUUAGCCAUACUGCCUAAUUUCCCUUUAAAUAAGGGUGAAUUUGCGAGAUAGCCAAAAUCUAGAGUAUAAUUAGGCAAAUGACUAUGAUUUUGACAUUAUUGAGUGAAUAAUAUUUUGCCUUCUCCCAAGCCGGUUAUACCCCUACUGAAAACAAGUUACCGGUCAAAACAAAAGGAGAGAUGACAUCGAUGACUUAAUAGAUGGAUCACAUUCACUGUGUACUGUUAACUAACAAAUCAAGCAAAUAUAUCCACGUCACAUGCUUUCUUACCACGUAUAUGUUAACUGUGCUAUAUAAAUGUUUUAUUCCAUUUAUAAAAGUACUAUGUUUGAUAGAAACAAACAGAACACCUUCAUAUGAAACAGAACUAGAAACCUUAAACUCAAUUCCACACCUAAAUACUACGCCCUAAACUCGAAUCUCUAAACUAAAACUCAAAUAUUAAAUCUAAUUUCUAAUUAUAAUAAUUUUAAAAAAUAAAAUAAAAUAAAGAUAUAUAAAAUUUGAACUAUUGUUCUAUACUAUCUAAAAUAGAGUGGAGACUAUUCUUCAGAACUAAUGCAUUUGUGUUCAACCUUAACCCACCUCCAACCAAAAUAGUAUAUAACACCAAUCCCAUCCCAACCCCUCAAUAAUAAACCAUAUAACAACCCUACCAUAAACCCUUAAAUACUUAACCUUAAACCAUAAUCACUAUACCCUAAACUAAAAUAUAAACCCUAAACCCAAAUAUAAACCCUCAACCUAAAUAGAAUGGAACUAAAUAAAUAGCAUAAUACAUUUUGGUGAAAAUAUGAAAUGUCUAUGAUAUCAUCAAAGAAGUUAAUGCUAACUCCAACCUUACCUCCUCCACCUACAAAAUAUUAUACCCCAAACUUUAAUCACUAAACGCAAAUAUAAACCAUAAACCCAAAUAUUAAAAGUAUAUAAACAUUAUCAUUCUACAUUAGGCAUAUAGAAUAGAAAAUCUGAAAAUGUAGUUACAAUCUAAAACUCAUCUUAACAUAUUUUUCAAAUAUUGAUAUGGUUAUGCCUUCAUGGAAGAUGGUAAUUCUUGUCACAAUAUCAACCCCAACCAUACAUAAACUAAACCCUACACGGAAAUAUAAAUCCUAAUCCAAUGUCAACUUAACAAAUCAAGCAAAUAUAUCCACGUCACAUGCUUUCUUACCACAUAUAUGUUAACUAUGCUAUAUAAAUGUUUUAUUCCAUCUAUAAAAGUACUAUGUUUGAUAGAAACAAGCAGAACACCUUCAUAUGAAACAUAACUAGAAACUUUAAACUCAACUCCACACCUAAAUACCGCCCUAAACUCGAAUCUCUAAACUAAAACCCAAAUAUUAAAUCUAAUUUCUAAUUAUAAUAUUUUUAAAAAUAAAAUAAAAUAAAGAUAUAUAAAAUUUGAACUAUUGUUCUAUACUAUCUAAAAUAGAGUGGAGACUAUUCUUCAGAACUAAUGCAUUUGUGUUCAACCUUAACCCACCUCCAACCAAAAUAGUAUAUAACACCAAUCUCAUCCCAACCCCUCAAUAAUAAACCAUAUAACAACCCCACCAUAAACCCCUAAAUACUUAACCUUAAACCAUAAUCAUUAUACCCUAAACUUAAAUAUAAGCCCUAAAUCCAAAUAUAAACUCUCAACCUAAAUAGAAGGGAACUAAAUAAAUAGCAUAAUACAUAUUGGUGAAAAUAUGAAAUGUCUAUGAUAUUAUCGAAGAAGUUAAUGUUAACUCCAUCUUUACCUCCUUCACCUACAAAAUACUAUACCCUAAACUUUAAUCCCUAAACCCUAAACCCAAAUAUUAAAAGUAUAUAAAACAUUACCAUUCUACAUGAGGCAUAUAGAAUAGAAAAUCUGAAAAUGUAGUUACAAUCUAAAACUCAUCUUAACAUAUUUCUCAAAUAUUGAUACGGUUAUGCCUUCAUGGAAGAUGGUAAUUCUUGUCACAAUAUCAACCCCAACCAUACAUAAACUAAACCCUACACGGAAAUAUAAAUCCUAAUCCAAUGUCAACCCCAAUCUUUCAUAAACUAAACCCUAGCCACUAAUCACUAAACCCUAUAUGGAAUAUAAACUUUUAUCCAACCUCAAACUCAA